rnacentral:rRNA from 1 species
UACAGAGGGUGCAAGCGUUGUUCGGAAUUAUUGGGCGUAAAGGGCGCGUAGGCGGGCUCUUAAGUCAGAGGUGAAAGCCCAAGGCUCAACCUUGGAAUUGCCUUUGAUACUGAGGGCCUUGAGACCGGAAGAGGUCGGCGGAACUGCGAGUGUAGAGGUGAAAUUCGUAGAUAUUCGCAAGAACACCAGUGGCGAAGGCGGCCGACUGGUCCGGUUCUGACGCUGAGGCGCGAAAGCGUGGGGAGCAAACAGG